rnacentral:rRNA from 1 species
CAGUAGCCGGGGUAAUACGAAGGGGGCUAGCGUUGUUCGGAUUUACUGGGCGUAGAGCGCACGUAGGCGGAUCGAUCAGUCAGGGGUGAAAUCCCAGAGCUCAACUCUGGAACUGCCUUUGAUACUGUCGAUCUGGAGUAUGGAAGAGGUGAGUGGAAUUCCGAGUGUAGAGGUGAAAUUCGUAGAUAUUCGGAGGAACACCAGUGGCGAAGGCGGCUCACUGGUCCAUUACUGACGCUGAGGUGCGAAAGCGUGGGGAGCAAACAGGAUUAGAUACCCCAGUAGUCCCUGUCUCUUAUAC